ACAAAAUGAGAGUUGGCACCUUGUGGCAUUCCUGCUAAGGGAAUCAUUUAAAAUAAUUCUGGCUAGGAUGGCCAAGGUUAACCCUGGGCACAAUUUGGAAUUAGGAUAAAUUGAUGCCUCUUUUCUUCCUCCCUGAAACAUCUUCCAAUCCCUCAGGCCUAUUUUUAGCUGGCUGCCAACCAGCCCUGCAUGAGCAAAUGUGUGAAGGUACGCUAUUUCUCAGGGGCAUUUUCAAUUUUAAAAGAGACUCUCAAAUGUGGAAAAGUCGUCAGACCCCAAAUCUGUGCUGUUUACAUGACGGGUCCUGGGGUUGAUCGUCUGGGCAGAGGGCAAUUUGUUCCAAGGCUGCCUCUGGGCACAGUGGCUGGACUACAGAGAAGUAAAUUCACACACAGCCUCCUUUUUCCCACCAACUGGUUGUUCGGCUGCCAGCAAUUGGAGCUAUUAAACACAUGGAGACUUGAUGAGAAAUUCGAAAAGAAGACUACUGCACAGUGUGGUAGGUGGAGAGAGUCACCAGUGGGCGGUUCUACUCGUGGCUCUGCGGUACCAGCUUCGUGACCUCAGGGAAGUCACUUAAACUCUCUGAGCUACUGUCUCGCCCCACCUUUCAGGCCUGUUGCAGGAUCAAAUACAAACAUGAGAAAGUACUUUGAAAACUGUCCCAUUGGGUUUCAGAGGACAAAUGUGGGCAAGUAGCAGAUCCUGUUAUGCCUGUGGAUGGAAUUCUGGAUCCUGGAGAAGAAUCGAUGGCUGACUAAACAGUUAAAAAGGAUGACAGCACUACAGAAGUCAGAGUGAAGAUAUUCAGACUUUUCAGACCUUGGCCUGAGGUAAUCUUUCAAGCCAGGUGCUAGUUACAGUCUUCCACGCAGUAACCACCACUGUAAGUCCUAAUGGUCGCUUAUGGGACAAGAGGUGAGCACGUGUGGGGACAGACGGCCUCUGGCUCUCUUUCCUUGUCUGCUGUUGCCAUUUCUCUGUGAUCCCCAAAGUCACCACUAUAGCAACAGGGCAUCUCUUCUACGAAAAACCUUCUGCCCUGGGAUGAGAUGGACACAAAGCAAAGAAAUGGUCUUACUGACUUAGUUACGAAUGCAUGUGUAAGCUCUCUUUCCUAGAUAACACUUGUGUACUUAGUGCUUUAGCCAAAAUGAACCUGAUUCAUUUUAUUAUUUCAUCUCUCUGUGUAUUUGUACUUUGUAUUGUUCUAUCUCCCUAUGCAUUUCUUCC
rnacentral:lncRNA from 1 species